rnacentral:rRNA from 1 species
CCUACGGGUGGCAGCAGUGGGGAAUAUUGCACAAUGGGGGAAACCCUGAUGCAGCGACGCCGCGUGAGUGAAGAAGUAUUUCGGUAUGUAAAGCUCUAUCAGCAGGGAAGAAAAUGACGGUACCUGACUAAGAAGCCCCGGCUAACUACGUGCCAGCAGCCGCGGUAAUACGUAGGGGGCAAGCGUUAUCCGGAUUUACUGGGUGUAAAGGGAGCGUAGACGGCAGCACAAGUCUGGAGUGAAAUGCCAGGGCUUAACCACGGAACUGCUUUGGAAACUGUGCAGCUAGAGUGCAGGAGAGGUAAGUGGAAUUCCUAGUGUAGCGGUGAAAUGCGUAGAUAUUAGGAGGAACACCAGUGGCGAAGGCGGCUUACUGGACUGUAACUGACGUUGAGGCUCGAAAGCGUGGGGAGCAAACAGGAUUAGAUACCCUAGUAGUC